CGUAGGGUGCUAGAGUUGUCCGGAUUUACUGGGUGUAAAGGGUGCUCAGGUGGGUUUGUAAGUCAGAGGUGAAAUCCCAAAGCUUAACUUUGGAGCUGCCUUUGAUACUGCAAGCCUGGAGUUUGAGAGAGGGUAAUGGAAUAUCUGGUGUAGCAGUGAAAUGCGUAGAUAUCAGAUAGAACACCAAUGGCGAAGGCAGUUACCUGGCUCAAAACUGACGCUAAAGCACGAAAGCGUGGGGAGCAAACAGGAUUAGAUACCCUGGUAGUCCACACCCUAAACGAUGAAUACUAGAUGUUGGUCUUUUUUAAGGUCAGUAUCCAAGCUAACGCAUUAAGUAUUCCACCUGGGAAGUACAAUCGCAAGGUUG
rnacentral:rRNA from 1 species